CACGUCAAGUGAUGAAAUUGGAAAAAUCUUAGGACACCUUCCUACACAGCAGAAGUUGCUGUGGAUGAGAACAAUUUUCCAUGCUGAUGAUGUG